rnacentral:rRNA from 1 species
CCAGACUCCUACGGGAGGCAGCAGUGGGGGAUAUUGCACAAUGGGGGGAACCCUGAUGCAGCGACGCCGCGUGGGUGAAGGAGCGUUUCGGCGCGUAAAGCCCUAUCGGCAGGGAAGAAGGAGGACGGUACCUGACUAAGAAGCCCCGGCUAACUACGUGCCAGCAGCCGCGGUAAUACGUAGGGGGCAAGCGUUAUCCGGAUUUACUGGGUGUAAAGGGGGCGUAGACGGCUGUGCAAGUCAGAAGUGAAAGCCCGGGGCUCAACCGCGGGACUGCUUUUGAAACUGUGUAGCUGGAGUGCAGGAGAGGUAAGUGGAAUUCCUAGUGUAGCGGUGAAAUGCGUAGAUAUUAGGAGGAACACCGGUGGCGAAGGCGGCCUGCUGGACUGCAACUGACGUUGAGGCCCGAAAGCGUGGGGAGCGAACAGGAUUAGAUACCCCGGUA